rnacentral:rRNA from 1 species
AGCGAACGCUGGCGGCAGGCCUAACACAUGCAAGUCGAACGAAGUCUUCGGACUUAGUGGCGGACGGGUGAGUAACACGUGGGAACGUGCCUUUAGGUUCGGAAUAACUCAGGGAAACUUGUGCUAAUACCGAAUGUGCCCCUCGGGGGAAAGAUUUAUCGCCUUUAGAGCGGCCCGCGUCUGAUUAGCUAGUUGGCGAGGUAAAGGCUCACCAAGGCGACGAUCAGUAGCUGGUCUGAGAGGAUGAUCAGCCACAUUGGGACUGAGACACGGCCCAAACUCCUACGGGAGGCAGCAGUGGGGAAUCUUGCGCAAUGGGCGAAAGCCUGACGCAGCCAUGCCGCGUGAAUGAUGAAGGUCUUAGGAUUGUAAAAUUCUUUCACCGGGGACGAUAAUGACGGUACCCGGAGAAGAAGCCCCGGCUAACUUCGUGCCAGCAGCCGCGGUAAAAC